CACAGGUACGGUGAUAUGGUUCCGGAAACAAUAGCCGGGAAAAUUGUCGGAGGUGUGUGUUCGCUUAGCGGAGUGCUCGUUAUCGCACUGCCCGUACCAGUAAUUGUGUCCAAC